rnacentral:rRNA from 1 species
GAUGAACGCUGGCGGCGUGCCUAAUACAUGCAAGUCGAGCGAACGGACGAGAAGCUUGCUUCUCUGAUGUUAGCGGCGGACGGGUGAGUAACACGUGGAUAACCUACCUAUAAGACUGGGAUAACUUCGGGAAACCGGAGCUAAUACCGGAUGAUAUUUUGAACCGCAUGGUUCAAAAGUGAAAGACGGUCUUGCUGUCACUUAUAGAUGGAUCCGCGCUGCAUUAGCUAGUUGGUAAGGUAACGGCUUACCAAGGCAACGAUGCAUAGCCGACCUGAGAGGGUGAUCGGCCACACUAGAACUGAGACACGGUCCAGACUCCUACGGGAGGCAGCAGUAGGGAAUCUUCCGCAAUAGGCGAAAGCCUGACGGAGCAACGCCGCGUGAGUGAUGAAGGUCUUCGGAUCGUAAAACUCUGUUAUUAGGGAAGAACAUAUGUGUAAGUAACUGUGCACAUCUUGACGGUACCUAAUCAGAAAGCCACGGCUAACUACGUG